rnacentral:rRNA from 1 species
AACGAACGCUGGCGGCGCGUCUUAAACAUGCAAGUCGAACGGCAGGAAGGGGCUUGCCCCUUCUGAGAGUGGCGGACUGGUGAGUAACACGUGGGUGACAUACCUUUUAGUUGGGGAUAGCUAUUAGAAAUAGUAGGUAAUACCGAAUGUGACCGUACCUGUUAGAGGGGUACGAGGAAAGGAGCUAAGGCUUCGCUAAAAGAAUGGCUCGCGGCCCAUUAUGCUCGUUGGUGAGGUAACGGCCCACCAAGGCGAUGAUGGGUAUCCGGCCUGAGAGGGUGAACGGACACAUUGGGACUGAGAUACGGCCCAGACUUCUACGGGAGGCAGCAGUUAAGAAUAUUCCGCAAUGGACGAAAGUCUGACGGAGCGACGCCGCGUGGAUGAAGAAUGCCGAAAGGUUGUAAAAUCCUUUUAAGCCUGAUGAAUAAGCACAUUAGGGAAUGAUUGUGCGGUGACCGUAGGGCUUGAAUAAGCACCGGCUAAUUACGUG